UGGAGAAGCCUGGUAGGCUGUAGUCCAUGGGGUGGCUAAGAGUCAGAAAAAAUCUAACAACUCUGGACUGUUGACAAACAUUCCCUUUUGGUGUCCCAACUCCUCUUGAAGCCAAAAUGAGGAAGGAGCUGACUCUGAGCUGGAAACAAGGGCAGCAGAAGGUCAAGAUAGUGGGCUCAUUUUGUGCAUGAAUCCCAGAGAGAGAGUGCCAGCCAUUGCAGGAGUGGACUAAGACUGACAUUUCAAGGAUUAGCGUAAAAGAAUAGAAGAAAAGUGUGAAGAAUGAAAAUGCUGCCAAUAAAGAACAAAAAAGUAAGCAACAGAUCAUUUCAAAUGGUGAAAGUCUGGAAGGGAAUACAAAACAGAUAACCCAGAUGCUGUGUG